AAAGUCUAUGGUUAAUUUUCUGAGAGCUUUUAAGAGAAAUCAGUAUUGAAGCCUAGCUUCCCACUUUUAACUUUGCAAGUGAGUGUCUGGAAUGGGGAGGGAGGAAACAGGGUGGUUGAUGAAGGUCUUAGAUUUCCAUGCUGAGUAAUGUCCAAUUAAUGGAACUCAAAAUGCCUGGACAGGGAAGCCAUAAUCCAAUUUGUAGCUUUUGGCUUUACUAGCAAUAAGUAUUUUAUGUAUAUUUCGUAUGCACUCACUGUUUUGGUUUUUUUUUCCCCCUUGGUGCAUAUCCUAGUUCAUGGGGAGAUUUCCUUUUGGAUACCAUCUCGGGGCUUGUAUUUGAUACUGCAAAGGAAGACGUGGAGUUACGGACCGGCAUACCCCGGCAGCUGCUCCUGGUGGAAUCCACAACUGUUGCUACAAGACGAUUAAGUGGCUUCCUGAGGACACUUGCAGACCGGCUGGAGGGCACCAAAGAACUGCUUUCCUCAGACAUGAAGAAGGAUUUUAUUAUGCACAGACUCCCCCCUUACUCUGCGGGAGAUGGGGCAGAGCUGUCAACACCAGGUGGAAAGUUACCGAGGCUGGACAGUGUAGUGAGACUGCAGUUUAAAGACCACAUUGUCCUCACAGUACUGCCGGAUCAAGAUCAAUCUGAUGAAGCUCAAGAAAAGAUGGUGUACAUCUAUCAUUCCUUAAAGAAUAGUAGAGAGACACACAUGAUGGGAAAUGAGGAGGAAACAGAGUUUCAUGGACUUCGCUUCCCUUUGUCACAUUUGGAUGCACUGAAGCAAAUUUGGAACAGUCCAGCUAUUUCUGUCAAGGACCUGAAACUUACUACAGAUGAGGAAAAGGAAAGCCUGGUAUUAUCCCUCUGGACAGAAUGUUUAAUUCAAGUAGUCUAGUGCCUUU
rnacentral:sRNA from 1 species